rnacentral:sRNA from 1 species
GAGCCCUGAAGGAGUUUGCCGAAAUGGCCUCGUUGUGUUACCUGGUGUGUUGAACACAAGUCUUGUUGGAUUGAGAUCUGCCGCUGCUCGCCGAUCAGGAAAGUGUCGUGCGCCGAAGCGAUUGGUCCUGACCUGUCCUUGAGAAGUAGCCGCUUUGAGCUGUUGGGCCAAGAAUCGGUUUGCUUGCUCUUGGUCGUUCCCCUUCUUCUGGAGUUGUGCCAUCAUGCUUCUCAGUCCUGCUAGGACUGCGGGAGCGGCGACUUCGGGAGCAUUUGUCUGGAUUGGAGGAACAGGGUUUCCCUCCAUGUCAACGGUGGUAGCGGGGAUCUGGUUGUUGGUCAUCGUUGCUCGAUCGAUCGGUUCUGUGUUCUUGGAGUAAGAGAAAUCUCUUUCCCCUCCUUCUAGCGCCGAAUUGUGCGAGUCGAAACUCACAUAGUCAAAUUGUAUUUAGGGUUUCUUCAAAGAACAGAUCUUUGUGAGACUCUCAAAGAACAACAGAAUUAUUUGAUUACCGUGGACGGUGCUCUUGAUCUUAUUACUGAAAAGAUGAUGAUUCGAUCGUACAAGUGUUUAGAAAAGUAAAAAAUAGGUGUUUUGCCUUCAAAGUCAGAGCGUUUUGAUAGCCUGAAGUUGAGAGCGUCUUUAUGCGUGUCCCCUUUGUUCGUUCCUCGAGGCGCUUUAUAUAGGACCUUGGUAACCCGCCUCUCGCGAUAUUCCUCGGAAGAUUUCCAGUUAUCUCCGGGUCGGCGAUAGGGGAUAUUUUCUAUAUGGAAAUCUUCCUUAUUCUUUGGGAGUUUCGGAAAACUUCCAUAUUCGAUAAUAUCCCAAAGAUUUUUUGAUAUGCUUCACCGGAUUUUUCGGAAAUGAUAUCUUGACCCUUCACUGAAUUUGUAUAAGUAUCCUCCUCGGGUGGAUAUUCUACCUUGGGCUCGAACCGAAGCGAUCCCCGAGAUAUAGUUGAGCUCGGCUCAGGUGUGUUUUCUGGAAUAAC